UGUUUCCUUACCCACAGGCUGUGUUGUUACAUUGCUGUACAGAAAGAGGAGGCAGAAUAACGCUGCCCCGUGUGCACCUCAGCCUAGGCCCUCGAGCCUGGUCUGUAUUGUGAAUGGGAAGAUGGGG